rnacentral:rRNA from 1 species
CAGCAGCCGCGGUAAUACGUAGGGUGCAAGCGUUAAUCGGAAUUACUGGGCGUAAAGCGUGCGCAGGCGGUUAUAUAAGACAGAUGUGAAAUCCCCGGGCUCAACCUGGGAACUGCAUUUGUGACUGUAUAGCUAGAGUACGGCAGAGGGGGAUGGAAUUCCGCGUGUAGCAGUGAAAUGCGUAGAUAUGCGGAGGAACACCGAUGGCGAAGGCAAUCCCCUGGGCCUGUACUGACGCUCAUGCACGAAAGCGUGGGGAGCAAACAGGAUUAGAUACCCGGGUAGUCCCUGUCUCUUAUAA